rnacentral:misc_RNA from 1 species
AAGUCGUAACAAGGUUUCCGUAGGUGAACCUGCGGAAGGAUCAUUAUCGUGGAGCUUCGGCUCCUUCGAGGGAGAACCCUUGCCUUUUCGAGCACCUGUUUGUUUCCUCGGCAGGCCCGCCUGCCAACGGGGACCAUUUAAACUCUUGCAAUCAACCUGAACAAAAUCGUCUGAACAAAAAAAACUAAAUCAAAACUUUCAACAACGGAUCUCUUGGUUCUG